GAUGAACGCUGGCGGCGUGCCUAAUACAUGCAAGUCGAGCGAACGGACGAGAAGCUUGCUUCUCUGAUGUUAGCGGCGGACGGGUGAGUAACACGUGGAUAACCUACCUAUAAGACUGGGAUAACUUCGGGAAACCGGAGCUAAUACCGGAUAAUAUUUUGAACCGCAUGGUUCAAAAGUGAAAGACGGUCUUGCUGUCACUUAUAGAUGGAUCCGCGCUGCAUUAGCUAGUUGGUAAGGUAACGGCUUACCAAGGCAACGAUGCAUAGCCGACCUGAGAGGGUGAUAGGCCACACGGGAAGUGAGACACGGUCCAGACUCCUACGGGAGGCAGCAGUAGGGAAUCUUACGCAAUGGGCGAAAGCAUGACGGAGCAACGCCGCGUGAGUGAUGAAGGUCUUCGGAUCGUAAAACUCUGUUAUUAGGGAAGAACAGAUGUGUAAGUAACUGUGCACAUCUUGACGGUACCGAAUCAGAAAGCCACGGCUAACUACGUG
rnacentral:rRNA from 1 species